AACCCUUGAACCCAGAAUGAGAGGCGGAAAAAAAAAAGAGAGAGCUUUUGGAUUUGAAAGGGUAUCUGGAUUUAGUGACAGGAACAGAUUGCAUUAUUUAAGAAACGAUCGAUGAGUUUGGUGAGAGAGAAAAAGAGCGCGCUUUUUGGUUAACUCUUCGUCAGAGAUUGUGAACCUAACUUUACGAAUUGGCGACCUUCAACGCUGUUUCGUGUUUCUUUCUCG